rnacentral:tRNA from 2 species
GGCCCCAUCGUCUAACGGUCAGGACGCCAGCCUCUCACGUUGGUAAUACGGGUUCGAAUCCCGUUGGGGUCACCA